rnacentral:rRNA from 1 species
AGCGAACGCUGGCGGCAUGCUUAACACAUGCAAGUCGCACGGGCAGCACUGUCAGUGGCGGACGGGUGAGUAAAGCGUAGGAACGAGUCCUGAGGUGGGGGACAACCCCGGGAAACUGGGGCUAAUACAGCAUAUGGGCUGCGGCCCAAAGCCGAGGGGCGCCUUUGGAGCGGUCUGAGUCUGAUUCGGUAGUUGGUGGGGUAAAGGCCUAUCAAGCAUGCGAUCGGUGGCUGGUCUGAUAGGACGACCAGCCGCACUUGGACUGAGACACGGCCCAGACUCGUACGGAAGGCAGCAGAAGAUAAUAUUGGACGAGGAGCGAAAGCCUGAUCCAGCAAUGCCGGGUAUGUGGAGAAGGUCUUCGGAUCGUAAUUCCCUUUCGACGGGAACGAUGAUGACGGUACCCGGAGAAGAAGCCCCGGCUAACUACGUG